rnacentral:rRNA from 1 species
GACGAACGCUGGCGGCGUGCCUAAUACAUGCAAGUAGAACGCUGAAGGAGGAGCUUGCUUCUCUGGAUGAGUUGCGAACGGGUGAGUAACGCGUAGGUAACCUGCCUGGUAGCGGGGGAUAACUAUUGGAAACGAUAGCUAAUACCGCAUAAGAGUAGAUGUUGCAUGACAUUUGCUUAAAAGGUGCAAUUGCAUCACUACCAGAUGGACCUGCGUUGUAUUAGCUAGUUGGUGGGGUAACGGCUCACCAAGGCGACGAUACAUAGCCGACCUGAGAGGGUGAUCGGCCACACUGGGACUGAGACACGGCCCAGACUCCUACGGGAGGUAGCAGUAGGGAAUCUUCGGCAAUGGACGGAAGUCUGACCGAGCAACGCCGCGUGAGUGAAGAAGGUUUUCGGAUCGUAAAGCUCUGUUGUAAGAGAAGAACGAGUGUGAGAG